GGGGAUGUUACGAAACCACAGGGCAGAUUCGUUCAACAGACAGAUGAGUUCAGUUCAGUACCACCCGGUGCUGUCAAUACGAGCAAACAUAAAUGUCAGUUGCGCAAACGUCAGAACAUAUCCUCGUGUGCUGUACUGUCAGAUGGAGCAUAGACACAACGUGAUCAGUCCGUAAGUUGCUCGUCAUUGCACUGUUUCAAUAUUAAAAUCAGUUAGCAGUCGUAGUUAAACCUUUAUUAAAGUUGCUUAAAUUCUAGUUAAUUAUAGUGAAUUUGUAACAGAACGAGAAACUAAAGCUAAUAGUACGGCUAAUUGACUAGUUCAGGCUAAUUAUCACAGAUUUGCAAGAAGGGACACUACGAACACAGAUAAAAAAGGAGUUUGUUUCGGAUAAACUCGGAAGAAGAAAACGAAAAUGUAAGCAUAACCUAUAUUAUAAACCAAAUGAAACUUAAUAUAAUAUAU